rnacentral:rRNA from 1 species
AGGGCGCACGGUGGAUGCCUUGGCACUAGAAGCCGAAGAAGGACGUGACUAACGACGAAAUGCUUUGGGGAGCUGUAAGUAAGCGCUGAUCCAGAGAUGUCCGAAUGGGGGAACCCACUAGUUAAUGACUAGUAUCCAUAUCUGUUAAGGAUAUGAGAAGGAAGACGCAGUGAACUGAAACAUCUAAGUAGCUGCAGGAAGAGAAAGCAAAAGCGAUUGCCUUAGUAGCGGCGAGCGAAACGGCAGGAGGGCAAACCGAAGUGUUUACACUUCGGGGUUGUAGGACUGCGAUAUAGGAUUAAUCAUUAUAGAAGAAUUACCUGGGAAGGUAAGCCAAAGAGAGUAACAGCCUCGUAUUUAAAAUGAUAGAUUAACCUUAGCAGUAUCCUGAGUACGGCGAGACACGCGAAAUCUCGUCGGAAUCUGGGAGGACCAUCUCCCAACCCUAAAUACUCUCUAGUGACCGAUAGUGAACCAGUACCGUGAGGGAAAGGUGAAAAGCACCCCGGGAGGGGAGUGAAAUAGAACCUGAAACCGUGUGCCUACAACAAGUUCGAGCCCGUUAAUGGGUGAGAGCGUGCCUUUUGUAGAAUGAACCGGCGAGUUACGAUAUGAUGCGAGGUUAAGUUGAAGAGACGGAGCCGUAGGGAAACCGAGUCUUAAUAGGGCGUCAUAGUAUCAUGUUGUAGACCCGAAACCAUGUGACCUACCCAUGAGCAGGUUGAAGGUGAGGUAAAACUCACUGGAGGACCGAACCAGGGCACGUUGAAAAGUGCUUGGAUGACUUGUGGGUAGCGGAGAAAUUCCAAACGAACUUGGAGAUAGCUGGUUCUCUCCGAAAUAGCUUUAGGGCUAGCGUCGAUGUUAAGUCUCUUGGAGGUAGAGCACUGUUUGGGUGAGGGGUCCAUCCCGGAUUACCAAUCUCAGAUAAACUCCGAAUGCCAACGAGAUAUAAUCGGCAGUCAGACUGCGAGUGCUAAGAUCCGUAGUCGAAAGGGAAACAGCCCAGACCACCAGCUAAGGUCCCAAAAUAUAUGUUAAGUGGAAAAGGAUGUGGGGUUGCACAGACAACUAGGAUGUUAGCUUAGAAGCAGCUAUUCAUUCAAAGAGUGCGUAAUAGCUCACUAGUCGAGUGACCCUGCGCCGAAAAUGUACCGGGGCUAAAACAUAUUACCGAAGCUGUGGAUGACACAAAAGUGUCAUGGUAGGAGAGCGUUCUAUGUGUGAAGAAGGUGUACCGUGAGGAGCGCUGGAACGCAUAGAAGUGAGAAUGCCGGUAUGAGUAGCGCAAGACAGGUGAGAAUCCUGUCCACCGUAAGACUAAGGUUUCCAGGGGAAGGCUCGUCCGCCCUGGGUUAGUCGGGACCUAAGGAGAGACCGAAAGGUGUAUCCGAUGGACAACAGGUUGAUAUUCCUGUACUAGAGUAUAUAGUGAUGGAGGGACGCAGUAGGCUAACUAAACCAGACGAUUGGAAGUGUCUGGUCAAACAGUGAGGUGUGAUAUGAGUCAAAUGCUUAUAUCUUUAACAUUGAGCUGUGACGAGGAGCGAAGUUUAGUAGCGAAGUUAGUGAUGUCACACUGCCAAGAAAAGCUUCUAGCGAUACAUAUACUCUACCCGUACCGCAAACCGACACAGGUAGUCGAGGCGAGUAGCCUCAGGUGAGCGAGAGAACUCUCGUUAAGGAACUCGGCAAAAUGGCCCCGUAACUUCGGGAGAAGGGGCGCUGAUUUUAGAUCAGCCGCAGUGAAUAGGCCCAAGCAACUGUUUAUCAAAAACACAGCUCUCUGCUAAAUCGUAAGAUGAUGUAUAGGGGGUGACGCCUGCCCGGUGCUGGAAGGUUAAGAGGAGUGCUUAGCGUAAGCGAAGGUAUGAAUUGAAGCCCCAGUAAACGGCGGCCGUAACUAUAACGGUCCUAAGGUAGCGAAAUUCCUUGUCGGGUAAGUUCCGACCCGCACGAAAGGCGUAAUGAUUUGGGCACUGUCUCAACGAGAGACUCGGUGAAAUUUUAGUACCUGUGAAGAUGCAGGUUACCCGCGACAGGACGGAAAGACCCCAUGGAGCUUUACUGCAGUUUGAUAUUGAGUAUCUGUACCACAUGUACAGGAUAGGUAGGAGCCUAUGAUAACGGGACGCCAGUUUCGUUUGAGGCGUUGUUGGGAUACUACCCUUGUGUUAUGGCUACUCUAACCCAGAUAGGCAAUCCCUAUCGGAGACAGUGUCUGACGGGCAGUUUGACUGGGGCGGUCGCCUCCUAAAAGGUAACGGAGGCGCCCAAAGGUUCCCUC